rnacentral:rRNA from 1 species
GAGUUUGAUCGUGGCUCAGAUUGAACGCUGGCGGCAUGCCUUACACAUGCAAGUCGAACGGCAGCACGGGAGCUUGCUCCUGGUGGCGAGUGGCGAACGGGUGAGUAAUGCAUCGGAACGUAUCCUGGAGUGGGGGAUAACGUAGCGAAAGUUACGCUAAUACCGCAUAUUCUGUGAGCAGGAAAGCGGGGGACCUUCGGGCCUCGCGCUCUUGGAGCGGCCGAUGUCGGAUUAGCUAGUUGGUGAGGUAAAGGCUCACCAAGGCGACGAUCCGUAGCAGGUCUGAGAGGAUGAUCUGCCCCACUGGAACUGAGACACGGUCCAGACUCCUACGGGAGGCAGCAGUGGGGAUUUUGGACAAUGGGGGCAACCCUGAUCCAGCCAUGCCGCGUGAGUGAAGAAGGCCUCGGUU